rnacentral:rRNA from 1 species
GACGAACGCUGGCGGCGUGCUUAACACAUGCAAGUCGAACGGAAAGGCCCUGCUUUUGUGGGGUGCUCGAGUGGCGAACGGGUGAGUAACACGUGAGUAACCUGCCCUUGACUUUGGGAUAACUUCAGGAAACUGGGGCUAAUACCGGAUAGGAGCUCCUGCUGCAUGGUGGGGGUUGGAAAGUUUCGGCGGUUGGGGAUGGACUCGCGGCUUAUCAGCUUGUUGGUGGGGUAGUGGCUUACCAAGGCUUUGACGGGUAGCCGGCCUGAGAGGGUGACCGGCCACAUUGGGACUGAGAUACGGCCCGGACUCCUACGGGAGGCAGUAGUGGGGAAUAUUGCACAAUGGGCGGAAGCCUGAUGCAGCAACGCCGCGUGCGGGAUGACGGCCUUCGGGUUGUAAACCGCUUUCGCCUGUGACGAAGCGUGAGUGACGGUAAUGGGUAAAGAAGCACCGGCUAACUACGUG